rnacentral:rRNA from 1 species
UACGAAGGGUGCAAACGUUGCUCGGAAUCAUUGGGCGUAAAGCGCACGUAGGCGGCUUCGCAAGUCGGAUGUGAAAUACCUCGGCUCAACCAAGGACGUGCAUCCGAAACUGUGAGGCUUGAGUACUGAAGAGGAUCGCGGAAUUCCCGGUGUAGAGGUGAAAUUCGUAGAUAUCGGGAGGAACACCUGUGGCGAAGGCGGCGAUCUGGGCAGAUACUGACGCUGAGGUGCGAAAGCGUGGGGAGCAAACAGG